rnacentral:misc_RNA from 1 species
AAGUCGUAACAAGGUUUCCGUAGGUGAACCUGCGGAAGGAUCAUUAUACGUUUAUCCAACGUACCAACCAACGCGCUCUCGUUUAAACCGAGUCUGUGGGCGAGCCUUUCUUAGGGCAUCCAAAAUAUGGUGGGAUCGCUUUUGUUUUUUUUUUGGCUUCUUUUAGUCGAAAAAAAACAACCCGAUCUGUUUGGGUGUCCGAUCAUGAACUCGCACACGGCAACCAUUUUAUAUUUUUAUUUUUAAAAAACGCAUUGUAAUCACUUGUACUAAUUACGAAAAACAUCUGCGCAAGCGGAUGGAAUUAAGACAUUAAUUGCUGAACAACUCUUAGCAACGGAUAUCUUGGUUCUC